rnacentral:rRNA from 1 species
UACGUAGGGAGCAAGCGUUGUCCGGAAUCAUUGGGCGUAAAGCGCGCGUAGGCGGCCCUGUAAGUCCGUUGUGAAAGUCAAAGGCUCAACCUUUGAAAGCCGAUGGAUACUGCAGGGCUGGAGUCCGGAAGAGGCGAGUGGAAUUCCUGGUGUAGCGGUGGAAUGCGCAGAUAUCAGGAGGAACACCAAUAGCGAAGGCAGCUCGCUGGGACGGUACUGA